rnacentral:rRNA from 1 species
GAGCAUGUGGCUUAAUUUGACUCAACGCGGGAAAUCUUACCGGGUCCGGACACACUGAGGAUUGACAGGCAAUAUUAAAUAUACUCUAACUAUACUCUCAUAUAUUUUCUGUUGUAUUUAUGUUAAAUAUGCUAGUCCUUUCAUGAUUAUGUGAUAGGUGGUGCAUGGCCGUUCUUAGUUCGUGGAGUGAUCUGUCUGCUUAAUUGCGUUUCACUAAGGGCCUAUACAUUUACGUGUGUUGCGGCACUUUGACCCCUCUUAUUCACGUAAGAGCGCGUGUCUUAGUUUUUGCUUAGCUCGCACAAUUAGGUCCUGAAAGCAACGAACGUGACCGCAACCUCUUGUUGCCUUUUGAUACCAACGGCGCAUUUUGUUCACAUUCACUUUCGCUUGCGUUUGUGUAUUGUGUGUAAUUGUGCUGCAAAAAGGCUUUCUAAACUAGAGGGACCGCUGUUACUUUCUUAAACCAGAGGAAGGUUGCGGCAAUAACAGGUCUGUGAU